rnacentral:lncRNA from 1 species
GGAAAAGAGGGAGGAGCCAUGGUUCCUCCCUGGGGUCAGCCCCGGGGACUAAGACAGACCCCCUCCCCAAGCAGUGCCCAUGUUAGGCAGUUACCAUCAGCUCCUCACGGCACCAGGACUGUGCUGACAGAGUUUUGCAUCACCUCCCCGGGAGAAGGUUUCUCUUAGUUAAAAGGGGUCAUUCCUUCAUUUGCAGUCAACCUGAAAUUUAUUUAUUUGGGGGAGACAUAGGAGCUAGACUACCAUUUAAGAAUACUAGGGUUUCUAGAAUAAAUUGUCGUCUGCCCUGUGCACCUCCCUUCCUCAUCCGGGGACUCAGACGGAAGAAAACACCAACCAGAAAACUAGACGCACAAGGGGAAGAAAUUCCUCCUCUGCAGCGUGGGGCCGUUUCUUUCUUCUCUCCUCACCUCUGCACUCAAAACUGAGAAAAAGCCCAGCCUCUCUGCGGAUCACUCGUCACCCGUCCCAGGGAGCCGGGACGAGUCGUUGGGCUCUCACUGUCAGAAGCUUUACAAACCAACACCUGUGUCCUAAGAGGCCUGAGAAAAAGGACAGAGCGGCAAAGAAGCUGCCACCUGAUUUGGGACGCCUGUUCUGGGAGCUGCUCUCGCUCGGACAGGCGGGGACCCAGCAGCCGCCUCUUCCAUUUGGAUUUGUCUUCUGUCCCAGUAACUAGCCUGUCGGCAGCUCACAAACAAAGGGAACUGAUAUUCAUUAAGUUCCUACUGUGUGCCAAGAACUACUCCCAGUUCUUCACAUACCUCAUCUUUAUAGACGAAAAUGAAGGGAUCAGGGAGGGCCCGGGGUCACGGAGCUCGUGGGCAGCACAGCUUGGUGGAACUCUCUAGGGUGGGAUGUGCAGUGUGGAAAAAGACCCAGCUCAGUACAGGCAGAGACCACUCAGUCGACACUCAUUGAUUGACCGACUGAGUCAAUAAAUGUCAAAUCAUAUCAUAAAGGACUUAUUUCCCUUCCACGCUGUGAAAGAUGCAGGCCUUUCCUCCACUGUAAUGGGGAGAAGGGC